CAGCAUUUUGUUACAUGGCCUAUGUCAGAUGGGUAAAUUUUCUCAAGCACUUAACUUGUUUUAUGAUAUGCAAGCUCAAGGGUAUAAACCAAAUAUUGUGACUUAUGGUACCCUGAUAAAUGAUC
rnacentral:miRNA from 1 species